rnacentral:rRNA from 1 species
UCAGGAUGAACGCUAGCUACAGGCUUAACACAUGCAAGUCGAGGGGCAGCAUUGGGAUAGCUUGCUAUUCAGAUGGCGACCGGCGCACGGGUGAGUAACGCGUAUCCAACCUUCCUGCCAGUAGGGAACAGCCCGGCGAAAGUCGGAUUAAUGCCCUAUGUUCUUCAAUGCGGACAUCUAAGUUGAAGGAAAGAUUCAUCGCUGGCAGAUGGGGAUGCGUCCGAUUAGCUUGCCGGCGGGGUAACGGCCCACCGGGGCGACGAUCGGUAGGGGUUCUGAGAGGAAGGUCCCCCACACUGGUACUGAGACACGGACCAGACUCCUACGGGAGGCAGCAGUGAGGAAUAUUGGUCAAUGGGCGUAAGCCUGAACCAGCCAAGUAGCGUGCAAGGAUGACGGCCCUACGGGUUGUAAACUGCUUUUAUGCGGGGAUAAAGUGCGGCACGUGUGCCGCUUUGCAGGUACCGCAUGAAUAAGGACCGGCUAAUUCCGUGCCAGCAGCGGC